rnacentral:lncRNA from 1 species
UAGGCAAAUAAAUGGAAAGAGCUUACGUAGGAAAACAAAUAUUUUUAGAGUGCUUGUAUGCCUAAAGAUGUAGACAAGUGUUUUAAAAUUUGCAAAGAAAAUACCAAAGUACUGAAGGGUUUAUUCAGUGAAUUUGGAGGUGUUUUUUCUUUUAUUUUUUUUUUAGUGUAAUGCUCAUUUUUGAGGUACACUUGGAAUGUAUGUAAGCAUUCUCUGCCAGUACAUUGAAAUAUAGAUGUGAAGAUAGUAUUAGAAAAAAUCAAAGCGCCCUGUUAUUUCUUGCUUGCAUAAGCUUUUACAAGGACUGGAGAGACACGUGGAAAGUUGCUUGAGUUGGGUGAAUCUCCUUACAACUCAGAAAAUUGCUCUUGGAAACUUGGGAUAACCUGGAGUGCUGUUUAUCCUCUGAACUGGAUUUACACUGCAGUAGAACAGAGAAAGCGCUGCUCUGCUCAGGCAUUGUCCUGGCUGAGGUGAUGAGGCCUUCUAGCUUAACUGCACUUGUGCACGUGCUCCUGUUACUUACCCAAAUAACAUGUGGUAAGAAGUCAAGCCCUGAGGAAUUGUUAGGUGGAAAUAGAUGAUCCUUCUGUGGCUUUAUAUACAUCCUACCCUACUUGAGCAAAGUCCAGAGAAUCUCUUAGUGCUGCUUAGGGAAAUUUUAUCAGCAUCAGUAUAAUAUUAAGAGGAGGAAUCAAGCAAUUAAUUUCUUUCAAGGUAAGAUCAGCAUAUCUGACUAGAUAUUAUAUUACUACGUGUAGCAAAAUUUCAAAGUUAAUUUAGAUUAUAUGAAGUAAAGUCAUCCAUUUUCAAAUGCAUGAGAAGAGAUGAUUAAAUUCCAGAUUCUAGUGUAAAUUAGCUUCUAAACAUAGAGGUUUGUAGCUUGAAUUGAAUCAGGGAGUGUUUCAGAGGUUCAGAGUGUUAACUAUUUGCUGAUGGCUUUGCUCGAUUCAUUUCUGGAAAUGAUAUCUCACUGGAGUUGUCCAAUUCACAGUAUAUAAUGGAUUAAUGGCUUGGAACUUUAUCUAUAAUUCUUUGGCUUUAUGUUUAAACAGUUCAUAAACUCUUGAUAUCCCUUUUCCCCUCUUGAGUUCAUUAAGAAAAUAACAAAGUAAAGCUAGCACUUCCUUUUCUUUGUAUUUUAUUAUUUAGAAAAACACAUUUUUAUGUUAAUAUUCUAAACCACCAUAAUUUAGUAAUUUAAGGACUCCGGGAAGAGGAGAAAACAAAUAUUUCUUUUUCUGCCCAUUUCUAUUAAGAAGAGAG